UAGCUCAGCCAGUUGAGUGUGGUGCUGAUAACACCAAGGUAAUGGGUUCGAUUCCCGU
rnacentral:tRNA from 1 species